AGGACGAACGCUGGCGGCGUGCUUAACACAUGCAAGUGGAGCGACGAACCAGGGCUUGCCCUGGGGCAGAGCCGCGAACGGGUGAGUAACACGUGGGUUACCUGCCUCGAUGACCGGGACAACCCGAGGAAACUCGGGCUAAUACCGGAUGUGCCCGCAAGGGGAAAGGAAGCUUCGGCCUCCGCAUCGAGAUGGGCCCGCGGCCCAUUAGCUUGUUGGUGAGGUAACGGCUCACCAAGGCUUCGAUGGGUAGCUGGUCUGAGAGGACGAUCAGCCACACUGGGACUGAGACACGGCCCAGACUCCUACGGGAGGCAGCAGUGGGGAAUCUUGCGCAAUGCGCGAAAGCGUGACGCAGCAACGCCGCGUGGGGAAGAAGGCUUUCGGGUUGUAAACCCUUUCAGUUGGGACGAAGCUUCGCCGGUGAAUAGCCGGCCGGAGUGACGGUACCUUCACAAGAAGCACCGGCUAACUACGCGCCAGCAGCCGCGGU
rnacentral:rRNA from 1 species